rnacentral:tmRNA from 5 species
GGGGCUGAUUCUGGAUUCGACGGGAUUUGCGAAACCCAAGGUGCAUGCCGAGGGGCGGUUGGCCUCGUAAAAAGCCGCAAAAAAAUAGUCGCAAACGACGAAAACUACGCUUUAGCAGCUUAAUAACCUGCUUAGAGCCCUCUCUCCCUAGCCUCCGCUCUUAGGACGGGGAUCAAGAGAGGUCAAACCCAAAAGAGAUCGCGCGGAUGCCCUGCCUGGGGUUGAAGCGUUAAAACGAAUCAGGCUAGUCUGGUAGUGGCGUGUCCGUCCGCAGGUGCCAGGCGAAUAUAAAGACAGACUAAGCAUGUAGUACCGAGGAUGUAGGAAUUUCGGACGCGGGUUCAACUCCCGCCAGCUCCACCA